AUGCUCAGGUGUAUCACACUGCAUGCUACACAGACCAGCUCAUGGUGUGAGAAGCAUCUCAUAUGGUUCACCGAAUCAAUUGAUGAAUCUGAAGCGAUUCAAGAGGAGGAGCAAAAAUUGUUUAUGCCUAUAGGUUGUCCGAACUACACCUUUAGUUCUAACUACCUUGUUUGUUCUCCUUCUGGAAUUUUAUGUUGCCUUGCAUUCUGCUCAUUUGGCGCAUUUGUUCAUCACAAAGUGGAGGGGAGAGGUCUGGCUGCUACCAAUGGGAAAUGGGUGCCUCUCCAGUCAACCGAGAGACGACAAAUCCAACUGGAAAGGGCUCUGGUGAUCUUCAUGUUAUGA
rnacentral:rRNA from 1 species